rnacentral:rRNA from 1 species
GACGAACGCUGGCGGCGUGCUUAACACAUGCAAGUCGAACGGUGAAGCGCCUUCCUUUUUGGUGGGUGUGGAUGAGUGGCGAACGGGUGAGUAACACGUGAGUAACCUGCCCCCUUCUUCUGGAUAACCGCAUUAAAGUGUGGCUAAUACGGGAUAUUCUGGGUCUGUCGCAUGAUGGGUCUGGGUAAGCUAUUGUUUCGGUGGUGGCUGCGCUCGCGGCCUAUCAGCUUGUUGGUGGGGUGAUGGCCUACCACGGCGGUGACGGGUAGACGGCGUGAGAGGGUAGACGGUCACACUGGGAGUGAGACACGGCUGAGACUCAUACGGGGGGCAGCAGUGGGGGAGAUUGAGCAGUGGGCGCAAGCCUGAUGCGGGGACGCGGCGUGAGGGAUGAAGGCCUGCGGGUGGUGAACCUCUUUCGCCAGUGAAGCGGGCCUGCCUCGGUUGUAGGGGGGGUGACGGUAGCUGGAUAAGAAGCGCCGGCUAACUACGUG